GGUGCAACCUCACUUGAAGAAAUGUUUUGAAGGAAUUGCAAGGGUAGAAUUUACAGAAACUUUAGAUAUUACUCAUAUGAAGAGCAGUGAAGGAGAAGUUGUAGAACUUACAGAUAUCAUUUCAACUGCCAAAGCCAGAGGUCAAGUGGAGAAAUGGUUGGUUG
rnacentral:sRNA from 1 species